GAUGAACGCUGGCGGCGUGCCUAAUACAUGCAAGUCGAACGCUCAAGCUUGGUGCUUGCACCGAGCGGGUGAGUUGCGCACGGGUGAGUAACGCGUAGGUAACCUGCCUCUUAGCGGGGGAUAACUAUUGGAAACGAUAGCUAAUACCGCAUAAAAGUCGAUACCGCAUGAUCUUGAUUUGAAAGGUGCUAAUGCAUCACUAAGAGAUGGACCUCCGUUGUAUUAGCUAGUUGGUGAGGUAACGGGUCACCAAGGCGACGGUACAUAGCCGGCCUGAGAAGGUGAUCAGCCAAACUGGGACGGAGACACGGCCCAGACUCCUACGGGAGGCAGCAGUAGGGAAUCUUCGGCAAUGGGGGCAACGCUGACCGAGCAACGCCGCGUGAGGGAAGAAGGUUUUCGGAUCGGAAAGCUCUGUUGUAAGGGAAGAACGAGUGUGAGAGUGGAAAGUUCACACUGUGACGGUAACUAACCAGAAAGGGACGGCUAACUACGUG
rnacentral:rRNA from 1 species